rnacentral:rRNA from 1 species
GACAGAGGGUGCAAACGUUGCUCGGAAUUAUUGGGCGUAAAGAGCGUGUAGGCGGCUAGAUAGGUCCGUUGUGAAAACUCGAGGCUCAACCUCGAGACGUCGAUGGAAACCAUCUGGCUAGAGUCCGGAAGAGGAGAGUGGAAUUCCUGGUGUAGCGGUGAAAUGCGCAGAUAUCAGGAAGAACACCCGUGGCGAAGGCGGCUCUCUGGUACGUGACUGACGCUGAGACGCGAAAGCGUGGGGAGCGAACAGG